rnacentral:rRNA from 1 species
AGAGUUUGAUCCUGGCUCAGGACGAACGCUGGCGGUGUGCUUCACACAUGCAAGUCGAGCGAAUGAAGAAGGUAGCUUGCUACUUUUGGAUUUAGCGGCGGACGGGUGAGUAAUAUAUAGGAAUCUGCCCUAGAGCGGGGAACAACAGACCGAAAGGUUUGCUAAUGCCCCAUAGGUACGCAGUCUUCGGAUUGUUUAUUAAAGGAGUAAUCCACUCUAGGAUGAGCCUGUAUCCGAUUAGCUAGUUGGCGGGGUAAAGGCCCACCAAGGCUACGAUCGGUAGUUGGUCUGAGAGGAUGAUCAGCCACAAUGGGACUGAGACACGGCCCAUACUCCUACGGGAGGCAGCAGUGGGGAAUUUUACACAAUGGGGGAAACCCUGAUGUAGCGACACCGCGUGAACGAAGAAGCCUUUUGGGGUGUAAAGUUCUGUCGGCUGGAACGAAAAAAAUGACGGUACCAGCAAAGGAAGCAUCGGCUAACUACGUGCCAGCAGCCGCGGUAAGACGUAGGAUGCAAGCGUUGUCCGGAUUUAUUGGGCGUAAAGAGUUCGUAGGCGGUUAUUUAAGUCUGGUGUUAAAUACUGUGGCCCAACCACAGAACUGCAUUGGAUACUGGAUGACUUGAGUGCGGUAGAGGCGAGUGGAAUUCCCAGUGUAGCGGUGAAAUGCGUAGAUAUUGGGAAGAACACCAGUGGCGUAAGCGACUCGCUGGCCCGUAACUGACGCUGAGGAACGAAAGCCAGGGGAGCGAAUGGGAUUAGAUACCCUGGUAGUCCAA